rnacentral:rRNA from 1 species
GGGUCUGACUUGCUUAUUGCACCACAUGUGUUUUUCUUUGAAACAAACUUGCUUUGGCGGUGGGCCCAGCCUGCCGCCAGAGGUCUAAACUUACAACCAAUUUUUUAUUAACUUGUCACACCAGAUUAUUACUUAAUAGUCAAAACUUUCAACAACGGAUCUCUUGGUUCUCGCAUCGAUGAAAAACGCAGCGAAAUGCGAUACGUAAUAUGAAUUGCAGAUAUUCGUGAAUCAUCGAAUCUUUGAACGCACAUUGCGCCCUCUGGUAUUCCGGAGGGCAUGCCUGUUUGAGCGUCGUUUCUCCCUCAAACCGCUGGGUUUGGUGUUGAGCAAUACGACUUGGGUUUGCUUGAAAGACGGUAGUGGUAAGGCGGGAUCGCUUUGACAAUGGCUUAGGUCUAACCAAAAACAUUGCUUGCGGCGGUAACGUCCACCACGUAUAUCUUCAAACUUUGACCUCAAAUCAGGUAGGACUACCCGCUGAACUUAAGCAUAUCAAUAAGCGGAGGAA